rnacentral:rRNA from 1 species
CGUAGGGAGCAAGCGUUGUCCGGAAUUAUUGGGCGUAAAGAGCUUGUAGGCGGUUUGUCGCGUCUGCGGUGAAAUUUCGGGGCUCAACCCCGAACUUGCAGUGGGUACGGGCAGACUAGAGUGUGGUAGGGGAGACUGGAAUUCCUGGUGUAGCGGUGAAAUGCGCAGAUAUCAGGAGGAACACCGAUGGCGAAGGCAGGUCUCUGGGCCAUAACUGACGCUGAGAAGCGAAAGCAUGGGGAGCGAACAGG